AAGUGGACGGUAAAUUAGUGUUUUUUCUAAAUUAUUGACCACCCUGUUAAGUGGUCGGAAUAUGGACAAUAUUACCGACCACUCUCAAAUGGUGGUCGGAAAGGCAUACCACUAGAAAGCUUCGUCCCCAACCGGUCGCACCUCAAGCUAAUGCUACGGAGUCAUCGCCAUCUUCAAAAGCUAUGGAGUCGCACAUCGUCAUCCUCAACCAAAAGGAGUGCAUAUUGUUUGAAAUCUAGACCGUGUAGACAUCUAUGGAGAUCAAAAAUGGUUGAGUAUUCCUUGGAAGAAGCUUCAGGUUGGAGACAUUGUGAAGGUGGCAUCCCAACAGAUAUCUAGAUCUUGGGGGUUAAAGGCAUAUAUAAAGAAUUAAUACGGUGACCAGACUAUGAUAUAAAUAGACUGUCUUGAGUAUCAUAUUAGAGAAGAACUAAAUAAAACAGCACCUCAAGUGAUGGUUGUAUUUAAU